UUUUAAUGAGUAUUUCCAGUACUCAACUAGAUAAAAGGUAUAAGGCUCACCUAUCUUUUUUAGGUUCUUUAUACAUAACAUUUUUCAGCAGAAAGUUAGAAGCUAGAAUGACAUGUUAAGUUCAGGUUUUUCUUCUUCUUUUAUGGACAUGAAAGACACAAUAUUUGAAAGGAAAAUGUUUCGUUGACACCUUUCAUUUAACACACGCCACAUGGCAUCAUUUGGUUGGUUGUUUGGAUGAAGAAACUCAACUCUUUUUUAAAUGAUCCGGAGGGUAAUUUUGGAAAACGAAAUGUAUGAAAUUUAAUUUUCACGGUUUCAUUUUUAUCCUUCGUUCAAUUUGGCUUGGGUCUGUCGCCUCCACUCUCCAUUGGCCUCCUCCUCUCUCCACUCGCCUCCUCCUCUCUCCAUUCGCUUCAUUUCUCACAUUGCUCCCUAACGCGCUUCAGCUCUCUUUCUCGUUUUGGGUUUCUUUGGCGUUGUUGCUCUCUUUCGUUUUGGGUUUGGGUGUCUUUCGCGUUUUCACUUAAGUUCUUUUCUUUUGUUUAGUGUUGUGCCUUUGUUUCGUUUUGGGUUUGGGUGUCUUUCGCGUUGUCGCUCUCUUUCUCAUUGUCUCACUUCUCGAACACUAGUCUAUUUUUGUUGUCUUUAUUGUUUUUGUGUUUUGUGAAUCCUAAUCCACCGCCAUUGAUUUAUUUGUAUGAAAUAUGUGCAGUUGCAAUGGCGUCAACAUACAGUGGUCCAUGACAAUGAACAAAGAAUAAGAUAUGAGUCUGUGUCCUCCUUUGGUUAUGUGGACAAUGAAGAGGGAGUGUGGGUUCCAAAAGGGACACAACCAAUGAACAACGUCAACGUACAGUGGUCCAUGACAUUGAACAACCAAUAUUUCCUGUAUUAUAUUUGACN
rnacentral:lncRNA from 1 species